rnacentral:rRNA from 1 species
GAUGAACGCUGGCGGCGUGCCUAAUACAUGCAAGUCGAGCGAACAGAUAAGGAGCUUGCUCCUUUGACGUUAGCGGCGGACGGGUGAGUAACACGUGGAUAACCUACCUAUAAGACUGGGAUAACUUCGGGAAACCGGAGCUAAUACCGGAUAAGAUUUUGAACCGCAUGGUUCAAUAGUGAAAGACGGCCUUGCUGUCACUUAUAGAUGGAUCCGCGCCGUAUUAGCUAGUUGGUAAGGUAACGGCUUACCAAGGCAACGAUACGUAGCCGACCUGAGAGGGUGACCGGCCACACUGGGACUGAGACACGGCCCAGACUCCUACGGGAGGCAGCAGUGGGGAAUAUUGCACAAUGGGCGAAAGCCUGAUGCAGCGACGCCGCGUGAGGGAUGACGGCCUUCGGGUUGGAAACCUCUUUCAGCAGGGAAGAAGCCACAAGUGACAGUACCUGCAGAAGAAGCGCCGGCUAACUACGUG